AAGGUAGCCAAAUGCCUCG
rnacentral:ncRNA from 2 species